CAAACAGCAUAGCAUUGAUUAGCAUUGACGAAGGUGGAUUAGCAUCCAUCAUGUUCAUGAUGUUUAUCAUCAUUUAGGGACUUCAGGGUGUUUCAGGGAGUAGAGGACAGGACGACACUCACGGAGCAUCUGUAAGAGCCGCACAUACACUGUUAGAAUGUCCUGUUAGUUUACUUCAUUAGUUUGAUUUUCUUCACUAGCCAUUAAGAGCAAUUUGUGUUGGGCCACAUGGAACAGAUGAAGAUAGAGGACCUCAGGGUCCCCGGGGUUUACAGGGAAGGAGUGGUGCACCAGGAAUCCAAGGUCCCGUUGGAAAAAGUGUGAGCUUUAUUUUCCUUUCCUGGAUUUCCAAACUCUUCAGUCUCUUAGUUAUGUAACUCUCCAUCUUGUGGUAUAUUUAGCUGUUAAAAAUGUCAUAGUUUGCUCAAGUCAGUGGCUCAAUAUUUUCCAGAAGUAUAAUUUAAUCUGGUCAUCAAUUACUGCAUGUUUUAUGACUAGAACAGAUUAUUAAUUAGUAUAUUUCAGUGUCUGCACCAAACACACAGUUGAUUUUGGACAACAAAACAUUACAACAAGCCCACCCAGAACAAGUGCUUUUGUGAUUCUUUCACUAAGGGAAUGAGCAGUUCUCCUGGAAGGAGAGGAAGUAAAGGUGUUUGAACCAGUCGGUUCAUGCAGUUUUUAAACUUUACUGCAAUUUUUUCAUAUUUUGCCAAUACAAACAAAUAAAACAUUCAUGCAUAUCAUUUAUUGUUAUUUUCUAGGGACCUCAAGGUCCAAAAGGAAAGCAUGAUAAUCCCGGUCUCCCUGGAAAGCUGGCAAGUAUCCCUCAUGUCUAAACCCUUCUGACUAUUAUAUGAUUGUGCCGAACGUGAUUGUCUUUUACACUAAGUCCAAUUAAGGGUCGUAGUGGUACAUAUGGCCUGCUGGAGGUUAUAGUCACUGAUGGCGACCGAGUGAGUAGCUUGACCUUAUUCACUAAUCACAUUUUUCUGUGGUCCUAUCCAAUGCAAAACUCACUGCUUAUUGUUGUGGGUGGUUCCUAUGCAGUUUCUAAAGUGUUCUGAAUGGUUGCCAUUUGGUUACUAGGGUGUUUUGGGGCAUAACUGGGAUUUCUGGCCCAAGUAGAGUAGAAAUAAUUGGCAAAUGGCAGAUUUAGCAUAAAAAGUGUGCAUUUAAUAUCCUAUUGCACAACUUUCAGGGAGACAUUGGUUUCCGGGGACCUCCGGGGUGACCAGGUCUUGCAGGUAGUGCUGUAAGUAUGACUGUUUUAUGCAGACUAUUUGAAUGAUUUAUUAUAAAGCAUGUUAGUUAUAUAUUAUCGUCAUGAUUUGUGGCAUGGUUUCAAAUACACAGGGUGCCACAGGAACACUGGGUUUGCAAGGGAGUCAAGGACUACCUGGACCAAAAGUAAUUUCCACUCUGACUCUAAAAUAAAUGGUUCCUACUACAGGCAGUAUACCAGCCUCUCCAUCACAGGGCUCUGAAGGUCCUAAAGGGAAACCAGGGCCCAUCAGGCUGAAGGGACCAAAGGGAGGUGUCGGACAAAAAGGACCAAAGGUACCACUGUAUCCAAUGACUAUAGACAAGGUGUUUAUUUAUUUAUUUUUUAUUAACUCUAUAAAGCAUGUAUGAAACAAUAGUAAGAUAAAAUCUAAUUUGAACUUUUGUAUCAUAUUGAAUUUGCUCAUGUAGUAUGAUUCAAGAGAAUAUGGAGCUCAUACUCGAGAAGGGGAAAAAAACUCCCCAGAGUCCCAAAACUGAGCAAAAAUAUGCAAUUUGCUGCAGUAGCUGAUAUUUCUAUGGCUGAUAUUUCUAAAACGCCUUUUACUUACUAAAAUAAAAUAUAGUAAUGCAAUUUACUGGGCCAUGUUGGUAUUCGAGGAUUGCAAGGGCCCAUUGGACCACCAG